AACUCAAAGGAAUUGGCGGGGACCCGCACAAGCGGUGGAUGAUGUGGUUUAAUUCGAUGCAACGCGAAAAACCUUACCUACCCUUGACAUGUCUGGAAUCCUGAAGAGAUUUGGGAGUGCUCGAAAGAGAGCCAGAACACAGGUGCUGCAUGGCCGUCGUCAGCUCGUGUCGUGAGAUGUUGGGUUAAGUCCCGCAACGAGCGCAACCCUUGUCAUUAGUUGCUACGAAAGGGCACUCUAAUGAGACUGCCGGUGACAAACCGGAGGAAGGUGGGGAUGACGUCAGGUCAUCAUGGCCCUUAUGGGUAGGGCUACACACGUCAUACAAUGGCCGGGACAGAGGGCUGCCAACCCGCGAGGGGGAGCUAAUCCCAGAAACCCGGUCGUAGUCCGGAUCGUAGUCUGCAACUCGACUGCGUGAAGUCGGAAUCGCUAGUAAUCGCGGAUCAGCUUGCCGCGGUGAAUACGUUCCCGGGUCUUGUACACACCGCCCGUC
rnacentral:rRNA from 1 species